rnacentral:rRNA from 1 species
AGAGCUAGCCUACGGGGGCAGCAGUAGGGAAUUUUCGUCAAUGGGCGCAAGCCUGAACGAGCAAUGCCGCGUGAACGAGGAGGGUCUUCGGAUCGUAAAGUUCUGUUGAAGGGGAAAAAGAGCGGAGAGAGGAAAUGCUUUCUGAUUGAUAUUACCCUUCGAGGAAGUCACGGCUAACUACGUGCC